rnacentral:rRNA from 1 species
CAGAGUUUGAUCCUGGCUCAGGACGAACGCUGGCGGCGUGCUUAACACAUGCAAGUCGAACGAUGAAGCCUUUCGGGGUGGAUUAGUGGCGAACGGGUGAGUAACACGUGGGCAAUCUGCCCUGCACUCUGGGACAAGCCCUGGAAACGGGGUCUAAUACCGGAUAUGACGUACUCCUGCAUGGGAUGUGCGUGGAAAGCUCCGGCGGUGCAGGAUGAGCCCGCGGCCUAUCAGCUUGUUGGUGGGGUGAUGGCCUACCAAGGCGACGACGGGUAGCCGGCCUGAGAGGGCGACCGGCCACACUGGGACUGAGACACGGCCCAGACUCCUACGGGAGGCAGCAGUGGGGAAUAUUGCACAAUGGGCGAAAGCCUGAUGCAGCGACGCCGCGUGAGGGAUGACGGCCUUCGGGUUGUAAACCUCUUUCAGCAGGGAAGAAGCGAAAGUGACGGUACCUGCAGAAGAAGCGCCGGCUAACUACGUGCCAGCAGCCGCGGUAAUACGUAGGGCGCAAGCGUUGUCCGGAAUUAUUGGGCGUAAAGAGCUCGUAGGCGGUUUGUCACGUCGGAUGUGAAAGCCCGGGGCUUAACCCCGGGUCUGCAUUCGAUACGGGCAGACUAGAGUGUGGUAGGGGAGAUCGGAAUUCCUGGUGUAGCGGUGAAAUGCGCAGAUAUCAGGAGGAACACCGGUGGCGAAGGCGGAUCUCUGGGCCAUUACUGACGCUGAGGAGCGAAAGCGUGGGGAGCGAACAGGAUUAGAUACCCUGGUAGUCCACGCCGUAAA